AACGCACCUUGCGCUCCUGGGCUAUCCCUAGGAGCAUGCCUGUUUGAGUGUCGUGAAAUCAUCAACCCCAGUUGGAUUUGAAAUUUGACUGGUGGCUUGGACUUGGGGGUUUGCUGGCCGUUUUGAUUCGGUCUGGCUCCCCUUGAAUGUAUUAGCUUGGACUUGUUCCUAAGGCUUGGACUUUUGUUCUCACUCGGCGUGAUAAUGUCACCCGUCGAGGACGUCCCUCGCCUCACGGACCGGCUUCCAACCGUCCCCUCGUGGACAAAUCACUUUGAUAAUCUGACCUCAAAUCGGGUAGGACUACCCGCUGAACUUAA
rnacentral:rRNA from 1 species